rnacentral:rRNA from 1 species
UACGUAGGGGGCUAGCGUUGUCCGGAUUUAUUGGGCGUAAAGAGCGUGUAGGCGGCCAGGUAGGUCUGCUGUGAAAACUCGAGGCUCAACCUCGAGACGUCGGCGGAAACCAUCUGGCUAGAGUCCGGAAGAGGAGAGUGGAAUUCCUGGUGUAGCGGUGAAAUGCGCAGAUAUCAGGAAGAACACCCGUGGCGAAGGCGGCUCUCUGGAACGCAACUGACGCUGAGGCACGAAAGCGUGGGGAGCAAACAGG